CCUACGGGGGGCAGCAGUGGGGAAUAUUGCACAAUGGGGGAAACCCUGAUGCAGCGACGCCGCGUGAGUGAAGAAGUAUUUCGGUACGUAAAGCUCUAUCAGCAGGGAAGAAAAUGACGGUACCUGACUAAGAAGCCCCGGCUAACUACGUGCCAGCAGCCGCGGUAAUACGUAGGGGGCAAGCGUUAUCCGGAUUUACUGGGUGUAAAGGGAGCGUAGACGGCAGCGCAAGUCUGGAGUGAAAUCCCAUGGCUUAACCAUGGAACUGCUUUGGAAACUGUGCAGCUAGAGUGCAGGAGAGGUAAGCGGAAUUCCUAGUGUAGCGGUGAAAUGCGUAGAUAUUAGGAAGAACACCAGUGGCGAAGGCGGCUUACUGGACUGUAACUGACGUUGAGGCUCGAAAGCGUGGGGAGCAAACAGGAUUAGAUACCCCUGUAGUC
rnacentral:rRNA from 1 species